rnacentral:rRNA from 1 species
AGCGAACGCUGGCGGCAGGCCUAACACAUGCAAGUCGAACGAACCUUUCGGGGUUAGUGGCGGACGGGUGAGUAACACGUGGGAACGUGCCUUUAGGUUCGGAAUAACUCAGGGAAACUUGUGCUAAUACCGAAUGUGCCCUUCGGGGGAAAGAUUUAUCGCCUUUAGAGCGGCCCGCGUCUGAUUAGCUAGUUGGUUGAGGUAAUGGCUCACCAAGGCGACGAUCAGUAGCUGGUCUGAGAGGAUGAUCAGCCACAUUGGGACUGAGACACGGCCCAAACUCCUACGGGAGGCAGCAGUGGGGAAUCUUGCGCAAUGGGCGAAAGCCUGACGCAGCCAUGCCGCGUGAAUGCUGAAGGUCUUAGGAUUGUAAAAUUCUUUCACCGGGGACGAUAAUGACGGUACCCGGAGAAGAAGCCCCGGCUAACUUCGUG